rnacentral:rRNA from 1 species
UAUUUGAGAGUUUGAUCCUGGCUCAGGAUGAACGCUGGCGGCGUGCCUAACACAUGCAAGUUGAGCGAUUUACUUCGGUAAAGAGCGGCGGACGGGUGAGUAACGCGUGGGUAACCUACCCUGUACACACGGAUAACAUACCGAAAGGUAUGCUAAUACGGGAUAAUAUAUUUGAGAGGCAUCUCUUGAAUAUCAAAGGUGAGCCAGUACAGGAUGGACCCGCGUCUGAUUAGUUAGUUGGUAAGGUAACGGCUUACCAAGGCGACGAUCAGUAGCCGACCUGAGAGGGUGAUCGGCCACAUUGGAACUGAGACACGGUCCAAACUCCUACGGGAGGCAGCAGUGGGGAAUAUUGCACAAUGGGCGAAAGCCUGAUGCAGCAACGCCGCGUGAGUGAUGAAGGCCUUCGGGUCGUAAAACUCUGUCCUCAAGGAAGAUAAUGACGGUACUUGAGGAGGAAGCCCCGGCUAACUACGUGCCAGCAGCCGCGGUAAUACGUAGGGGGCUAGCGUUAUCCGGAUUUACUGGGCGUAA